GCGGGUACAGCUCAGUGGUAGAGUGUGUGCUUAGCAUGCAGAAGGUCCUGGGUUCAAUCCCCCAGUACCUCCA
rnacentral:tRNA from 1 species